rnacentral:rRNA from 1 species
CCUACGGGUGGCUGCAGUGGGGAAUAUUGCACAAUGGGCGCAAGCCUGAUGCAGCCAUGCCGCGUGUGUGAAGAAGGCCUUCGGGUUGUAAAGCACUUUCAGCGGGGAGGAAGGCGGUGAGGUUAAUAACCUCAUCGAUUGACGUUACCCGCAGAAGAAGCACCGGCUAACUCCGUGCCAACAGCCGCGGUAAUACGGAGGGUGCAAGCGUUAAUCGGAAUUACUGGGCGUAAAGCGCACGCAGGCGGUCUGUCAAGUCGGAUGUGAAAUCCCCGGGCUCAACCUGGGAACUGCAUUCGAAACUGGCAGGCUAGAGUCUUGUAGAGGGGGGUAGAAUUCCAGGUGUAGCGGUGAAAUGCGUAGAGAUCUGGAGGAAUACCGGUGGCGAAGGCGGCCCCCUGGACAAAGACUGACGCUCAGGUGCGAAAGCGUGGGGAGCAAACAGGAUUAGAUACCCGGGUAGUC